rnacentral:rRNA from 1 species
CCUACGGGAGGCUGCAGUGGGGAAUAUUGGACAAUGGGGGGAACCCCGAUCCAGCCAUGCCGCGUGUGUGAAGAAGGCCCUCGGGUUGUAAAGCACUUUCAGUGAGGAAGAACGCCUGGUGGUUAAUACCCAUCAGGAAAGACAUCACUCACAGAAGAAGCACCGGCUAACUCCGUGCCAGCAGCCGCGGUAAUACGGAGGGUGCGAGCGUUAAUCGGAAUUACUGGGCGUAAAGCGCGCGUAGGUGGCUUGAUAAGCCGGUUGUGAAAGCCCCGGGCUCAACCUGGGAACGGCAUCCGGAACUGUCAAGCUAGAGUGCAGGAGAGGAAGGUAGAAUUCCCGGUGUAGCGGUGAAAUGCGUAGAGAUCGGGAGGAAUACCAGUGGCGAAGGCGGCCUUCUGGACUGACACUGACACUGAGGUGCGAAAGCGUGGGUAGCAAACAGGAUUAGAUACCCUUGUAGUC